rnacentral:rRNA from 1 species
AGGCCACUGCUAUCGGAGUCCGACUAAGCCAUGCGAGUCGAGGGGCUCUCUUCUGAGAGCACCGGCAAACGGCUCAGUAACACGUGGCUAACCUACCCUCGGGUGGGGGAUAACCUCGGGAAACUGAGGCUAAUCCCCCAUAGGUCUGGGUUGCUGGAAUGCGCCCAGGCUGAAAGCUCCGGCGCCCGAGGAUGGGGCUGCGGCCUAUCAGGUUGUAGUGGGGGUAACGGCCCCACUAGCCUACGACGGGUACGGGCUGUGGGAGCAGGAGCCCGGAGAUGGACCCUGAGACAAGGGUCCAGGCCCUACGGGGCGCAGCAGGCGCGAAACCUCCGCAAUGCGCGCAAGCGCGACGGGGGGACUCCGAGUGCCCUGGCCUUUGGUCAGGGCUUUUCCGGAGUCUAAAAAGCUCCGGGAAUAAGGGCUGGGCAAGACGGGUGCCAGCCGCCGCGGUAAUACCCGCAGCUCGAGUGGUGGCCACUAUUAUUGGGCCUAAAACGUCCGUAGCCGGCCUGGUAAAUGCCCGGGUAAAUCGUGAGGCUCAACCUCACGAAUUCCGGGUAGACUGCCAGGCUUGGGACCGGGAGAGGCCGGAGGUACUCCAGGGGUAGGGGUGAAAUCCUGUAAUCCCUGGGGGACCACCUGUGGCGAAGGCGUCCGGCCAGAACGGGUCCGACGGUGAGGGACGAAGCCCAGGGGCGCAAACCGGAUUAGAUACCCGGGUAGUCCUGGGUGUAAACGCUGCCCGCUUGAUGUUGGGCAAGCUUCGGGCUUGCCCAGUGUCGGAGCGAAGGCGUUAAGCGGGCUGCCUGGGGAGUACGGCCGCAAGGCUGAAACUUAAAGGAAUUGGCGGGGGAGCACUGCAACGGGUGGAGCGUGCGGUUUAAUUGGAUUCAACGCCGGGAAGCUCACCGGGGGAGACCCCCAGAUGUGGGCCAGGCUGAAGACCUUGCCCGACUAAUAGGGGGAGAGGUGGUGCAUGGCCGCCGUCAGUUCGUACCGUAGGGCGUUCUGUUAAGUCAGACAACGAACGAGACCCCCGCCCCUAGUUGCUACCUGUCUCUCCGGAGGCAGGGCACACUAGGGGGACCGCCGGCGCUAAGCCGGAGGAAGGAGGGGGCAACGGUAGGUCAGUAUGCCCCGAAUCCCCCGGGCUACACGCGCGCUACAAAGGCUGGGACAAUGGGUUCCGACCCCGAAAGGGGAAGGUAAUCCCGAAACCCAGCCCAAGUUCGGAUCGAGGGUUGAAACCCACCCUCGUGAAGGCGGAAUCCGUAGUAAUCGCGCCUCAACAUGGCGCGGUGAAUAUGCCCCUGCUCCUUGCACACACCGCCCGUCAAGCCAUGCGAGUCGGGUCCGGGUGAGGGCCUCUCCUCUGGGGAGGUUCGAACCCGGGCUCGGCGAGCGGGGCUAAGUCGUAACAAGGUAGCC